ACUCCUACGGGAGGCAGCAGUGGGGAAUUUUGGACAAUGGGGGCAACCCUGAUCCAGCCAUGCCGCGUGAGUGAAGAAGGCCUCGGUUGUAAGCUCUUUCGGCGGGGAAGGAAAUAGCAACGGCUAAUAUCCGUUGUUGAUGACGGUACCCGCAUAAGAAGCACCGGCUAACUACGUGCCAGCAGCCGCGGUAAUACGUAGGGUGCGAGCGUUAAUCGGAAUUACUGGGCGUAAAGCGUGCGCAGGCGGUUUCGUAAGACAGACGUGAAAUCCCCGGGCUCAACCUGGGAACUGCGUUUGUGACUGCGAGGCUAGAGUACGGCAGAGGGGGUAGAAUUCCACGUGUAGCAGUGAAAUGCGUAGAGAUGUGGAGGAAUACCGAUGGCGAAGGCAGCCCCCUGGGUUAGUACUGACGCUCAUGCACGAAAGCGUGGGAGCAAACAGGAUUAGAUACCCUGGUAGGAUAGCG
rnacentral:rRNA from 1 species